GUGCUCAUUUUGGCAGCACAUACAGUAAAAUUGGAAUGAUACAGAGAAGAUUAGCAUGGCCCCUGCACAAAGAUGACACACAAAUUCGUGAAGCAUUCCAUAUUUUU